UCAGGCUGGCUUUGAACACUGGACAGUCUUCCUGCCUCAGAGUUGCCCCAGGCGUGGGCUUCCUUUAUCUCCAGCUCCCAGCAUGCUGCUGUGGCACCAACCCAAAAGCAGACUUCCAGAGAACUGAAGAGAUGCCACUCGUAUCCCGACUGCCCCCACAAAAGCAGAAGACGUAGUUAAGCGGCUGCGCCCUCAGCCACCAGGCCUGAGUGUAGACGAGAGGGCGAGCCGGCCGCCGUGCUCUUCUUCCCCGGGGCGUCUGGAAGCUUCCGGCUACACCUCGCCCCUCUCCCCUCCCCGAGCCUCCUGCUCCUCCGCCCAAGCCGUUAAAAAUAAAAAAUUUCCCUGCUAUCUAGACGUCACACACACCCCGACUUCAGGGCUUUAGCGCUAUGUGGCACCACCCAGCUGGGCUCCACAGAGGCGCGUCACGAUUGGUCGGGAUUGAAAGCUGUGGGCGGAGCCCCGGGAAGUGGGCGUGGCACCACCCGCCAGUGCCAGGUGACUGCGGCUCCAAGCUCCGCCCCUCUGGUCCGACCCGGCCUGCAUCCUGUGGCAAGGUGACAACAGACUUGGCAGUGGCACGGCGAGGCCAAGGGCUUCCCUUCCUGCACCCAGUGUGGGUCUGGGCAGUCUUUAUUUGAAAAAUUAUCAUUUAUUUUAGGGCAGAAAUAAGAAAAAGGAGAAGUGCUCAAGGGGAAAAGGGUGCUUUGAGGGGACAAAAAAAGAUACAUCCUGCAAGCAGAACCGAUUGCUUCAAGAACAAGAGGACAGUGGUCCAAGAGGCCAUUGCUGCCGUCUUUUUGUCUUUGGUGGCUGACCAGGCGGCCCCACUUGCUCUCCUGCUAGAAGCCUGACAUCGAGCUCCAGCUUCCGUGCGUUCCAGUCAGAAGACUGGCACCGAGUGCAGGGAACAGCUUGGUCCUGGCCCAGUCUUUCUGGGGUUGGUCAGAGGCGGUGAGUGCCAGGGUGGCCGUGUCUCUGGUGUCCCGAGGCAGCCCUUGACCCUCUGGACUCCAGCCAGGGCCACAGUGGCCUCCCCCGCAGGCCCCGGCUGGCCUUGGGCUGACAGCAUCCCCUCGUCACACUGCCCCUCUGUCCAACGCACAUGGGCAGGGGUCGAGGGGGGUGAGGAGCUGGGGCUGGAGCGGAGAGCAGCUGACUGUCCUUCCAGCCGGCCCAGAGGAGCCUCCUGCGUGUACUAUCGGCGCCGUGAUCAGAGCUGUAAGCCGGGCCCAGCUGACGCCCGGGAUGCUUGGCACUGGAAAUGGUUAUUGCUUUACACAUUGCUUGGCAUCCAACCUGUUACUUGGCUAAGGACAAAGCACUCCACUCCAGCUCCAGCUUUCCUUCCGUCCUACAACCCCUUCCCUCAAAGGGGCUGCCUCUGUCCAAGCCCUUUACUGCGGGUCCUGUGUGCUCCAGAGAACGUGAUACAACCCAAGAGCAAAGCCAACUGUGGCCAGGCCUCAUGCUGGUCAGGACUGGGGACGGUGCUCCCGAGGUCCGCACUCCCAUGGUCUUCAGAGGCAGAAAUGGACCCAGGUGAGAAAUUCAGCAACUGGCGACCAGUGCUGGCCGGGUGGCCUGUGACAGACUCUACCUGGGUUUCCAGGUCUGCAGGUGGCCUUGCCAAGCCCCCCUGGCAGGCAGUCGCCCCCUCUCCCAAGGCGUGGGGAACAGGGCGCCUCUGUCCCCAUACAACUGCUCCUGCUCCUUCCAGAUAAAGGAAACCCAUCACUGUCAGAGACCAUGUCUUUUUUGGCUCCUAUUUUCCUUUUCAAAUCAAAUUACCCCACUGACACAAAUUUAAGCAAACAGUUUCAUUUCAGGUCACAGGGACUCAGGGCUGCAAUCAAAGAUCUGAAUGAAAUUCCUAGAUAAACACAGUAAUUAGGAGCAUAAUAAAAGCAGAAUCAAACUGUCCCAGCCUCCCAUAACACUAAAAGGGAAUUUGAUUCAUUUUAAAGUGAUAUUUGGGCUUCACGUAUAAGGGGUUCAUUUUCAUAAAGGCAGAGAAAAUAGAGAUCGUUACAAU